GGACCAGACUCCUACGGGAGGCAGCAGUGAGGAAUAUUGGUCAAUGGCCGGAAGGCUGAACCAGCCAAGCCGCGUGAAGGACGAAGGUGCCAAGCAUUGUAAACUUCUUUUGUCAAGGGACAAAAUCAGGCUCGAGAGCCUGACCGAGGGUACUUGAAGAAAAAGCAUCGGCUAACUCCGUGCCAGCAGCCGCGGUAAUACGGAGGAUGCGAGCGUUAUCCGGAUUUAUUGGGUUUAAAGGGUGCGUAGGGGGACUUUAAAGUGAGGGGUAAAAGCCGGGGCCCCAACCCCGGCGAGCCGUUGAAACUGGCUGUCUUGAGAUGUCGAGAGGUAUGCGGAAUGCGCAGUGUAGCGGUGAAAUGCUUAGAUAUCACGCAGAACUCCGAUUGCGAAGGCAGCAUACCGGCGCUCAACUGACGCUCAUGCACGAAAGCGUGGGUAUCGAACAGGAUUAGAUACCCUUGUAC
rnacentral:rRNA from 1 species